rnacentral:lncRNA from 1 species
UGAUUUAGUUAUUAAAAGUGAUUAAUUACAGAAUUAUGGUUAGAAUCUGGAGAAUCAGAGGAAAGUAUAUAGGAGUUGUAGAAGUUAAUUAGAGGGCGAGACUAUGAGAGUCAUAAGUUGAGGGCCAGACUGUGAGAGUCGUGAGCCGAGGGCCAUUGCUGUGAUAGUGUGAGCCGGGGUAAGCUUGGUGCUACCUCUUUUCUUUUGUUUGUUAUUUUCUUUAAAUAAGAAGAUUGAGAGUUUCUAAAUAUUGUGAAGUGAAUUAUGGAAUGGAAAUGUGAUUGGUAUUAUUUGAGAAGAAGAAAGAUUGAGUGCUGAAAUCUGAUUGUAAUUCAGCAAAGAGAAUGGGUCUGUGUUUGUGUGAAACACUGUAAUGUGAAUGGCAGUUCUGUGUGAAGAAUUCCAGUGAUUGGAACGAGGGUAAUUGUGUGCUGAAAGCUGUGAGGGCACAGUAUUACAGUUGGAGAUUAUGAAGGUGAAUAUAUUGGUGGAAAUAGCAGUUAUUGGUAUGACUGAAUUACUGUAAGGAAGAGACCGAUAAGGUGAAGGAGGAGAUUAUAGUUUCCUUGUG